CAGCUGUGUGGCCUUAGGUAAGUUGCCUAAUGUCUCUCUGUACCUCAGUUUCCUCAUGUGUAAAAUGGAAACGAUGAUAGCAUCUACUUUAUAGCGUUAUGAUGAGAAUUAAUACAUAUGAGUCACUAGAGAGUGCCUGCAGUACACGAUGUUAGCUAUUGUUCAUUGCCCCAUAACCUACACACGGCAAGGCCAAUGCCAGUAUCUAAAUAUCAUGUACCACACAAACCAAGCAGAGGAUAAGAGGGGAGUCAUUUGUCAGGCACGCGGCAUCUCUCCCCACUGGCAGCGCCUUGAAAUACCAAAGGCCUAGCCAAAGAUGGAACUGUUUUGUUGGGAGCUCGGGUUUCCCCCGCCGCGAUGCUGAGCCGGUGGCGCAGCUGCUCAAAGGUCACGCCCGAGACACGUCCGCACAAGCCCGGGUGGCGGGGCGGGCAGCGGGGAGAGAAGAGGGGAGUGGGGAGGGGGACGGGGGCAGGGGGGCAGGGGGGAGGGGCGCCACCUUCUCCAGGGCCCUGCGGAGUGGGCCUCCCAUCUUCAUCUCGCAAGCAUCCAACCCGGGGAGGUGGCUUUCCUCUCCCUACUAAGAUUUUAUUUUUGCAAAACAAAAGGGAUGCCAAAAAAGAAAAAGUUCCUAAAUGAAAAGAAAAUGCUUCUUUAAAAAUGCUAAUUGUGAGCUUUUUAUUAUUGUUUUGGAAUUUCAACUGAUGGCUGAAAGAGAAAAUCUAAAUUUGGCCACAGGAAACCUGGAGCCAGUUAACCUUGAG
rnacentral:lncRNA from 1 species